rnacentral:lncRNA from 1 species
GGCCGGGGUGGGGGGCGCUACUUGACCGUUCGUCCACGGGCUCGGCCCCCGGCCCCUUGUUUUCUAGGGAGAGAGACAGAGAGACCCGAUCCAUUUUCCCUUGGCCUCUAAAGCGUGCGUGUGGUCGAAAGGCGACAGAGAGAGGGGUUCUGGUCCAGAAAGCCCCGACUGCGCCGCCGCGGGGAUCGGUCGGUUCCGCCCGAACCGUCCGAGUCGGAAAGGAACGGACAGCUUUCCUCCUUUGGGCCCCUGACUUGGGACCGACAGGGGAAGAGGAACAGGCCUCUCUCCCUCACACCCUGGCCCCUUCCUCCAGGACGCCCUCCUUCUAGUCAGCCCGCCUCUGGCUUUUCCACACGCCGACGACCGCUCGUCGGCAUGGACCCACCUUCCUUGGGGGACACCACCACACGACUCUCCCACUCGUCUGCCUGCCUUUCAAGGUUUCCGUUUCCAUCCCCUCCCCCCGAAAGAAAAAACGGCCCCACUCCCGGAUCUGCCCCACCACGAUCACCACCACCGCUGCCGCCGCCGCCGCCGCCGCCAUCUGCUGUCGCCCUCUAGGGUUGGACCGUUCUAGCUCUCUCCUCUGUGUGGAAUCGCAACGUAGGUCGCCUUGGAUGUCUGGCACCUCUCACUUAGCAGAAGGUUUUGGAGGCUCAGGCUGGGCCACGCUUUGGCCCGGGUCAGUGUUCCGUUCCUCCGGACGGCUUCCUCGUUUUCCACGAGAAGGAGCCGUGAAGACGGAAAGGAAGGGCGGAUGGAUGGCUUUUCCCGUGCUACCGAGUCCCUCUCCCCUUUUCCCCAAAGCGUGAGGGGCGGUCGAGAGGAUCGUCUCUGAUGACAAAAGUCAGAGGCACCCCGGGUCAGACACCGUGCGAGGCGUUGGUGUGUUCUCGAGAGGAGAACACGUCCCCGUCAGCGUUUCCUGUCGUUCUCGUUCCGAAAGGAUUCACGCGCCACCCCGUCUCCCUCAAGGUCUUAGGGCUGUCGUGCUCCGCAGCCGUCACGUGUCGUGGAUCCUGGGCACCACCACGCCACCCCGCCCCCCCCCCCCCCGCCAUAGCUGUCGAUCGCUAUGUGGCACGCCUACGUUUGCCCAAAAGAGCAGUCCGAUGGACAGCGUGGUGCUUUUCC